CCCCUUCUCGGGGUCGUGAGGUUGCUUGUCGGUUUCUCCCGCUUCGUUUUCGGGGCUACAGAGCGUGGCGAAGUGCCUUGUGCAAGUUCUUCAGCAUCAGUCCCAGAGGCUGCUGCUCAUUUCACGGCUCACAUGGUAUCGUUGCUGCUGAAGAUUAGAAGGUUGCUGGGAGGUAACAACAAAGGCCAAUGGAAGAACUAAGAACUCAGCCUAAUGCUUGUGAAGCUUCCCUCAGUGCUUCAUCCAAUAAAAUGUACAGUCUCAUUAGUAAAUUUUAUU